rfam:Astyanax mexicanus chromosome 21, whole genome shotgun sequence.
CCAAAGGCUCUUUUAAGAGCCACCCAACUCACUCAAAAAGUGCUAU